UAUGUGUGUGUGUGUGUGUGUGUAUGUAUAUUUAUGUGCUCUUUGGUGUACAUUUAGCUGCAAAAUUUCGUUUAUAACACGUUUUUCCUCAGUCUGUCUGCCAGAUGUUUGAUUUGGAAGGCGUUCAAAUGAAACAAAGUCCCACUCUUUCCCAAAAUUUUAGAAUGUAUCUUUUGAAACAGGGUUUCUUAAAGUCAGUUAAUGGAUUUUGCAAAAAAUACUGCCUAAAUGGCAUUAUAAAGCAUUAAGUACCUUGUCCAGAGGCUCUAAAAAUGUAAUACAAUAGGAUUGGGCCGAUAGUCAAUACAGCAAUCAAUAAAACGAUAAAUGAAAAGGAACUUAAUAACAUUGCUGUCAUUGAUAAAUUGCUACGUCUGUCUGUGUUUCUUUUCCUGAGUUGAUUUGGUCUUGUAAGGUCCGAAAGCAUGACAAGCACUACCUCCACAGCGGACACUCCCCUGAAAGACGAAAUCAAACGGCUUUGCCAUGCUUUAGUCACUUCGUCUCCAGUUCAACACACAUGAGCUAAUUCGACUAAUUUUAUCAACUUUCGUGAUGAAGGCAACUCACGUGACCUAUUGUGGCCUAGAAUGGACAACCAAGGAAAUUCUCGCACCAGACCUCAACUCUUAUUUUCUGACUUUCCCACAGUUAAUGAAUGAGGUCCUUUAGCUGACUGACACAUUAUACAUACCUUGCUAUCUAUUGUACCCAUUUUAAACAAUUGAGGGUGAAAAGUAUUCAAGAUGUUUAAUUAACACAGCUUAUAUGUAAUGCAUCUAAAGGGCUUUUUGACAUUUUUCACAAAUAUCAUUCCAUGAAAUGUAUUUUUCUAAAAUGUUCAAAUCACUCAUCCAUUUCCCAACAUUCCUAGUAUGAUGUUCAUUUAUUAUUCCAUGAAACCUUUUUAACUAUUUAUUUUAAUUGUGUUCUGAUUUAUUAAACGUAUCCUCCAGUUUGUGGCUAUUAUAAGGUAUAUUUUCAUAGGAUAUGCAUUUUUAAAGCAUGUCUUUAAAAAGAUAACAUUUAAAAAAUUACUUCUGGAUAUAUUAUAUUGAUCAACUAAUUCAGAAUUGGAUGUUUAUUUUGAGCUUAUUUUGAGUUUAUUUGGGCUUAAGUGAAUUUCCCCCUGAAUCAUUUUGAUAGAAGGUAAAGUGUGAUGGUUGACCGACGGAACACUUUAAUUGGAUAUUAUCAACGGCCGGCGCACAAAGUCAGAACACUGUAUGCUUGGAAUGUUAACACCCUGUGAACGUGCUCAUGCUGUGGCGAAAGUGAGAAAAUUAAUACGUGUUGGGAAAAUAAGAAACUGCAAAUUUCAGCAAAAAUGGCUGUCUGGCUGUCUUUUCAAAACUUGGUUAAAGUCAGACGAUUGUAAACCCGGAGGCUUUCUGCAGCAGGUUCAGAAAUACCUCCAAAUUAAUGCAUUGAAAUCAAACAUGCUAACAGCACAAGUUAGCAAUUUAAAGCAGUUAACUGUGCCACUUCUGGUGUUGCCACUAAGAAUGUCUAGUGUUGCUAACUUUACAGAAAAAUAAAUAAAAAUACAUUGUCAGAUGAAACAGUCUAGCGAACCAAAUCUAACUCACUAAAGAGUAGCAGUUAAUUUAAACCUUUGAACUGUUCAAGAUUAUCAUUCUCAAAAGCUUCCAAUUGUGUUUAUUCAGACAAUUGUAAGCUUUUGACUACAUUUAAUAACCAUAUGUGGUUGGACAUGGGCAUUUAUUUUUUCUUUAAAGGGGAACUGUACGUUUUUUGGAAUUUUGCCUUUCUUUAUUAGAGAUAUUCUAACUUUUUUAAAUAAUCAGCUCGUUCUAGGUGGCAGUUAAUGAGAUCAAUACUUUCUGCCACUAAAUCACUUUGAAAAUGCAUUCAAAAACCACCAGCAAUACUUAAUUUGCGUUCCGUAACCUGUAUAAAAACCAAGCUGUAGCGACAUUGUUAUUGUAAAAGCGAACACUGAGGAACUCUUUUUCUAGCAUAAUAACAUAUCGUCUUAACGACAACAUGCUACGGCAAUAGCCGUAAGCUAUGUAUGGCAAGACUUGAGCUAACUAUUUUGUCAACAACUGAAUGGCUUUAGAGUUUGUAAUGCACAACACAAUGAGAUAGGACACCAAUCUGUACUGACUGAAAAACAUGAACAAUCAUUUUAUAGUAUCUAUGGAGUAAUAACCUUCUUUUCAUGUUUUGUUUGUACACAGUUAGCUCAACAGCAUAUGUACUGUAGUUCUAAUAACAAGCAUGCUAUUCUGCAUGUAUCAUGAUCAAAAGAAUGUUUUUUUCCUGUUUCUUUUGGGUAAUGACACCAUUUCUGUCUGUAUAAGUUAUCUCCAUGUUUCACAUUUACAGCAAAAAGUCACGCCGACCUCACUCUCUCGGUUUCUGCAGCAUUUCAUUCUCUGUUCGUGUUGGCUUCUAUAACCAGUAGUUCAUCUUCUGUAUAUUUAGGUUAAAAAAGAUAAGGUUGUGAAUCCUCAUUUGUCCAAAUAUGUAUUCGUUGUUUGUUUUCAAGUCUGCCCUGAUUAGAACACACACAGGUUUGUUUACGGAAGUAGGAAAACAAAUUUUUUGCCGGAAGUCGGAAGUGCGUUGCUAACGAAAUGGAAAUAAAUGCUUAAAAAGACCAAUACGGUAAAUAUAUGGUUAUGAACGUGUCUGUUACUACAAUAUUUACAUUAGGGGUGUGGGAAAAAAUCGAUUCGAAUACGAAUCGCGAUUCUCAUGUUGUGCAAUUCAGAAUCGAUUCUCCUUUUUAAAAAAAUCGAUUAAAUUUUUUUUAUUUAUUUAAAACAAUACACAGCAUUACCAUAACAAUGCAAUCCAAAACCAAACCUGACCCAGCAACACUCAGAACUGCAAUAAACAGAGCAAUUGAAAGGAGACACAAACACGACACAGAACAAACCAAAAGUAGUGAAACAAAAAUGAAUAUUAUCAACAACAGUACCAAUAUUAGUUAUAAUUUCAGCAUAGCAGUGAUUAAAAAUCCCUCAUUGACAUUAUCAUUAGACUUUUAUAAAAAUAAAAAAAGAACAAGUGUCACAGUGACUUACACUUGCAUCGCAUCUCAUAAGCUUGACAACACACUGAGUCCAAUGUUUUCACAAAGAUAAAAUAAGUCAUAUUUUUGGUUCGUUUAUUAGUUAAAACAAAUUUACAUUAUUGCAAUCAGUUGAUAAAACAUUGUCCUUUACAAUUAUAAACGCUUUUUAAAAAAAUCACCUACUCUGCUAGCAUGUCAGCAGACUGGGGUAGAUCCUGCUGAAAUCCUAUGUAUUGAAUGAAUACAGAAUCAUUUUGAAUCGGAAAAAUACCGUUUUUGAAUCGAGAAUCGCGUUGAAUCGAAAAAAUCGAUUUGUAAUCGAAUCGCGACACAAGAAUCGAUAUUGAAUCGAAUCGUGGGACACCUAAAGAUUCGCAGCCCUAAAUUACAUACUUACAUCGUGUAUAUAAAAUGUUGAUGGAGGGUUUUGAAGUCUUUUUAGAGGACUUUGAAGGUGGUGACUUCCAUUAACUGCACCUUUCAAGCGUAUUUUGUUUUUAAAAAUGCUAAAAACAAAAUGACUUGUGUCCUUGUCUCUCAUGAUUGUAAAUAAACGUUCCAAAAAAGGGCAGUUCCCCUGUAAGUGGCAUUAAAAAGCAAUACAUUACAUUAUUGAUACCUGGAGAAACCCUGUAAAAGGUAACUGUUUAAACUAGGGCUGUCAUCCAUUUGUUGACAGGCGAUUAACGAACAUGCAUCCUUUUUGACUCUCGGGCCUUUCCGUAAAUGUGGCUGCGUUCACUAGUUACUGAUGAGCUACGAGUGUGGACUAAAAAAAGGGUACGUUAUGGAAGUACCAUGUCCAAAGCCCUGGCAAGUUCUCUUAAUAAGAAAAGGCAAUUUUUCGCCAUGAGUCAUCUGCCGACCGCUUGCAUUCAGAGGUCGGCGGAGCUUUACUUCUGAGUUAAGAUUACAGUAUGCAUUGAUUACAUAGCAUGUAGAUUGUUACUGUAGCUAAUAAAAUGGCAUUAGAUCUAAGCAGAAAUGAAUGACGGUGGGUAGGAAGUAGUAAGGCACUGUUUUUUUUUUUUUUUUCUAGGCCUUCAAUUUAAAUUUCCUCAUGCACGAAUCUUCGCUCAAAUUAAUGGGGAAUUGUCGCUUUCUUGGUUCAAAUAGCUCUUGCUGCUGUAGGCUCACAUUAUAAACAAUGUGAGGAUGCGAGGAGCCCUCACACCAGUGACGUCAUUGUCUGCUACUUCCGGUAAAGGCAAGGCUUUUUUAUUAGCGACCAAAAGUUGCGAACUUUAUCGUCGAUGUUCUCUACUAAAACCUUUCAGCAAAAAUAUGGCAAUAUCGCGAAAUGAUCAAGUAUGACACAGAAUGGACCUGCUAUCCCCGUUUAGAUAAGAAAAUCUAAUUUCAGUAGGCCUUUUAAAAUGAUGACAGAGGUCUGUAGUUUUAAUCAUAGGUACACUUCAACUGUGAGAGAAAUAAUGGAAAAAAUAAAUUCAGGAAUUCACAUUGUAGGAAUUUUAAAUAAUUUAUUUGUAAAUUAUGGUGGAAAAUAAGUAUUUGGUCACUUCAAACAAGGAAGAUCUCUGGCUCUCACAGACCUGUAACUUCUUCUUUGAGAAGCUCUUCUGUCCUCCACUUGUUACCUAUAUUAAUGGAACCUGUUUGAACUUGUUAUCUGUAUAAAAUACACCUGUCCACAGCCUCAAACAGUCAGACUCCAAACUCCACUAUGGCCAACACCAAAGAGCUGUCUAAGGACACCAGGAAAAGAAUUGUAGAUCUGAACCAGACUGGGAAGAGUGAAAUUACAAUAGGCAAGCAGCUUUGUGUGAAAAAAAUCAACUGUGGGAGCAAUUAUCAGAAAAUGGAAGACAUACAAGACCACUGAUAAUCUCCCUUGAUCUGGGGCUCCACGCAAGAUCUUAUUCCGUGGGGUCAAAAUGAUCAUGAGAACGGUGAGCAAAAAUCCCAGAACCACACAGGGGGACCUGGUGAAUGACCUGCAGAGAGCUGGGACCAAAGUAACAAAGGUUACCAUCAGUGACACACUACGCCGACAGGGAAUCAAAUCUUGCAGUGCCAGACGUGUUCCCCUGCUUGAACCAGUGCAUGUCCAGGCCUGUCUGAAGUUUGCCAGAGAGCACAUGGAUGACACAGCAGAGGUUUGGGAGAAUGUCAUGUGGUCAAAUGAAACCAAAAUAUAACUUUUUGGUAUAAACUCAACUCGUCGUGUUUGGAGGAAGAAGAAUACUGAGUUGCAUCCCAAGAACACCAGACCUACUACUGUGAAGUAUGGGGAUGGAAACAUCAUGCUUUGGGGCUGUUUUUCUGCUAAGGGGACAGGACGACUGAUCCGUGUUAAGGAAAGAAUGAAUGGGGCCAUGUAUCGUGAGAUUUUGAGCCCAAACCUCCUUCCAUCAGUGAGAGAUUUGAAGAUGAUUAUUGUCAUGCUGGAAGACCCAGCAUGACAAUAAUCCCAAACACACCGCCCGGGCAACGAAGGAGUGGAUCCGUAAGAAGCAUUUGAAAGUCCUGGAGUGGCUUAGCCAGUCUCCAGAUCUCAACCCCAUAGAAAAUCUAUGGAGGGAGUUGAAAGUCCGUGGUGCUCGGCGCCAGCCCAAAAACAUCACUGCUCUCGAGAAGAUCUGAAUAGAAGAAUGGGCCAAAAUACCAGCUAGUGUGUGUGCAAACCUGGUAAAGACCUAUAGUAAUCGUUUGACCUCUGUUAUUGCCAACAAAGGUUAUAUUACAAAGUUUUGAGUUUAAUUUUUGUUAUUGACCAAAUACUUAUUUUCCACCAUAACUUACAAAUAAAUUCUUUAAAAUUCCUACAAUGUGAAUUCCUGGAUUUUUUUUUCACAUUCUGUCUCUCACAGUUGAAGUUUACCUAUGAUGAAAAUUACAGACCUCUGUCAUCAUUUUAAGUGGGAGAACUUGCACAAUCGGUGGCUGACAAAAUACUUUUGUGUAAUUAAAUCACAAUAACGUCAAUGUGUAAUCCACUUGGUUUUUAAUAACACAUUAUUUUGAUUGGCUGUCACAUUGUAGAAAUAUUUCAUCAUUUUGUACCGUGUUAUGUUCAAUUAUAUCAAAAGAGCGUUGGUUUUUAAUAAUAUUUAACACAUUAUUUUCAAUUGUCUGACACUAUAUACUGAAAAUUGUAAUUUUCCUGAAGGAAUAAAUAAAGUCUAAUCUAAAGGAAUAUUGAUAAUUUUCCACUUUUUGCACCAUGUUUAAACAAGUGUGAAUGUCUACUUUUUGUUAGUCUCUUUUCUCUGUUCUUGUCUAAUCCGCUUAAUUUUGAAUAACACAUUAUUUUUAAUUGUAGUUUUCCUUUAUGUGUACUUAGUUUUGACCUUGUUCAUCAAGAUUCUUCUUCUUUGCACUCUGUGGCACCUAUUAUAAAAUGAUGAUACUUAAUUUGACGUUAUGUUUUAAUUAUAUCAGAUUAGCGUAGUCUAUUCCAGUUGUUUUAUAAUAAUAAUUAACACAUUCUUUUUGAUUGGCUGUCACCACAAUACAGGAAUAUUGAUAGUUUUCCUCUUUCUAAUUAUUUUUUAAUUGUUUAAUGUACAUAGCAUGAAUUUAAAUUGCAAUAGAAGUGUAUUUUGAAAGUAUUUCAGGGGUUCAUAUCCCUAAUGAUACUAAAAAAUAGAAUUAGAAAUAUUUAUUGUCAUUGUACAACAUAUACAACACCAUUUAGUUGAAAAGUUGCACCUAAAUGUUAAAGUACCACUGAUAGUCUCUCUCACACACACUAGGUGUGGUGAAAUUAUCCUCUGCAUUUGACCCAUCCCCUUGUUCCACUCCCUGGGAUAUGAGGGCGGUAGCUGCGCUCGGAAAUUAUUUAACCCCCAAUUCCAACCGUUGAUGCUGAGUGCCAAGCAGGGAGGUAAUGGGUCCCAUUUUUUAUAGUCUUUGGUAAGACUCGGCCGGGGUUUGAACUCACGACCAACUGAUCUCAGGGCGGACACCUUAACCACAAAGCCACUGAGCAGGUUCAACCUUUACAAUGUUUAAACAGUGUAUGGUGACUUUAUAGGUCUUUGAGACCAUCAUACACGGUUUAAUUAUUACUUUUUUUCCGAAAACUAACCUUGUUUGUUUGUAUACUGUAUGUUCUACUCAAGCAAAUCGUUUUUUAUUCGUUAGUAUUUUAGAGCACGUCUUUUUUUAACCCAAACUCUUACCUAAAGCAAUAAUAAUAUUGCAAAAUAUUUUUGCAGUCUAAUAUUCAAUGUUGUGAAGUAGUAGACAGUAUUUUGUGCAAAAAUAUCAAAUGUUUUAUUACUCUUUAGUAGGGAUGAUACUCGAAACCGGUUUUCCCAGUUGUUCGAUAAGAAAAGAAACGAGUCCUAAGACUCGAACCCUUUUUUGAUAACCGGUACCCGUUAUCGAGACCACUAUAGUAAAGAAAAAGAGUUGGGUCUUUAUUUUAAUCCAUCCCGACCAGAAAUGCUCCGUGAGACAUCACAAAAAACGACGUCACAUAGCUCAGUCAUUAGGCGCAGAUAGCGAAAGCAGGAAAACAACGGACGGGAAAAAGCCCUCCAAGGUGUAGUAAAGUUCAAAACAAAAGACAUAAUCCAAUGAAUAACUUUACUGAGAGAUUUGAGCAGGGUUCAAACACAUGACCAACACUUUUACGACCAACCGGAAACAUAGCAACCAGGCUAGCAACGCACUUCCUUUACGGCAGCUGUCGCAACGUUCUUAAAGCAACCGCAGCACAUACAUAUAUAUACAACAUAUCCCCCUUUUUUAACUUUUGUUUUUCUUUCCUUGUAAACAAAGCAAAAUCACACUGUAUAUGUGUUGUCAGUCUAAUUAUAAAUAAUGCAGACGAGGCGUGUUGGCUGAGUUCUUGACGUGUACUGCCGGGUGACGACAUGCAACAACACUUUUCGGGGCUACCGCGCAUGCUCGUCACUCCCGUUGAAUGCUGGGUAGUGUAGUUGUUAUAUUCCCCAGCUCAUAAAGAAAUAAUGUUAACUCAAUAAAGUGUAUUUCUUUUUUUAGCUAUAACUUUUCAUUUUUUAGCAUUGUAACCACAUUUGCAAACAACUUUUCUCUUCAUUCAGUUUUCUUUCAAUAAAGAAAUAGAGUGCAAAAAUGUCAAAGCAUCAUAACAAACAGUUAUGUCAAAUAGUAGCAGAAGUGCACUUUUUGGAGAGCUGUAUUAUUUUCAGUUUUGUGCCCAAGGGACUCAUUUUAUUUAACACUAUAUUCUUAUUUAUACACCUAUAGUGAUCACAGUGACAGGGUGUUUUUGUGUUACUGUAUAUAUUUGUUUUUCUGAAAAAUCCCACUUGAUAUACUUUGGGUAACAACAGUCAAUAUUUAUUUUAUUUUAUUUUAUUUUUUUAGGGGGGGUAACAGUCAAUAUUUAUUAGAUUUGAUUUUUUUCUUAUAUAAUAAACGUGAGCUUUUGUUAAACCAAGUAUUGUUUUUUUUUUCCAUGUACAAAAACCUGUCUGGACUCGAUUGGAGAAUCGAUAAGAGAAUCGAUAAGGAAUCAGUUUAAUAAGAGGAUUCGAUAAUGGGCUCGAACUCUAUAAUUUCUUAUCAAACAUCAUCCCUACUCUUUAGUAACAUAGCAAUCUGCUGAGUGUCGCCCACAUUUCCUAAUUGAAUAAAUGAAUAUUUUUUAAGGUGAUUCAUUACAGUAAAGGGCUUUUGUUCCCUGCUUAACACUACAAACUAUAGUAUUGAUCUACCUGUUUGCAUAUACACUUUAGAAUGGCCUUUUAAAAGUGUAAUUAACAAACAAAUGUUUUCAGCAUGGUUUGUUUUUGUGUUAGUCAGCAAUAUAACUCAAAUAAUUAUGGAUAGAUUUUGAUAUUUGGAGGAUACAUCCCAAAAAAAACAUUUCCUCUCAUCUACUAAGAACACUCUUCACUUCCUGCUUAUGGCGUUCCACGCCCCCCACCUUGUCAACGCCGUACUGCGUUCAGUAUUCUGGAAGAUGUCAUUUAUUUUCAGACCUCGCCAACCCUAAAGUGCCAGAAAAAAACUACAGACAAAGUUUUUGUUUGAUGCUUUCAUGGCGCGCCACAGCUUUAUUGUGAAGAUUUUUAAAUUGCAAUACCACUGUAUCUACCUACCUACUUAUUAAUGAUGAAAAAUUAUAUCUGCGAUUAAUCUCGAUUCAUUUUGAGUUAACUGGAAACAAAAUGUGAUUAAUCACGAUUACAUUUUAUCUUUUGACAGCCCCAGUUUAAAUAUACUGUAUAUCUUGAAGUUGUCACCGCUAUUUUUUUUUCCUCAGACACGGUCGUAAAAUAAAUUUCACAACAUUAGGUACACCUGCACAUAUUUCAUCAUACACCCUGUCUAAAUAAAAAGUGCUGCUAUGUGGAUGGAUGGAUCUUUAUUGUCAUUGUACAAGUACAAUGACAUUUUGUUUUAUUGAUUGAUUGAAACUUUUAUUAGUAGAUUGCGCAGUUCAGUACAUAUUCCGUACAAUUGACCACCAAAUGGCAACACCCGAGUAAGUUUUUCAACUCGCUUAAGUCGGGGUCCACGUAAAUCAAUUCAUGGUCCAAAUAUAUACUAUCAGCACAAACUCGUUGAAGAUUAGACAAACAGUGUACAGGGUUACAGUACAAGAUAAUGGGUCGCCAUAAGUUGCCUUGUAAAAGAUGGGGAAAAGGUAAACGCUGGGGGAGGAUGCGUUUAAAAAAAAAAAAAAAAAAUACAAUCUCGGACAAUUAAUUAGCA